GCCCUGGUAGCUUAAUUGGAUAGAGCAGAUCCGUCCUAAGGAUAAGGCUGGAGGUUCAAUUCCUCUUCAGGGCG
rnacentral:tRNA from 1 species